AGCCGCCGCCCGGAGCCCGUGCGCUCAGCCCGGGUGUUCGGGUCCUUGCGGGCCGGAGAAGCGGCCCCCGCCCCGCCCUCGCCCUCCGCCUCCCGCCCUCCGCCUCCCGCCUCCCGCCUCCCGCCUCCCGCCUCCCGCCUCCGGCCUCCCGCCUCCCGCCUCCCGCGGCGGCGCCGGGGCCCCGAGGCCGAAGCGCGGUCGGAGCGCGCGCGGGAGCCGAGACGCCGGGACCUGCGCCGCCGGAGCGGGCCCGCCGGAUCCCCAGCGGCUUCCGGCCCCGGGGAGACGCGCCGGAGUGAUCGCGACCGGCAAGCCCGACGCCCUCCGCCCGGCCUCGGAGAGAUCCCCCAUACUGUCUACCACACGUCAGCUCCAGCCUGGCUCUUCUCUGCUAGUAGCUGAGAAGAUGGAGGGGAAAAUCAACAUUGGCCUCAUCUUGCUGCAAAUGAGUGUCUUCAUUUGUAAAAUGGCAGGCAUGAACCAGUAACUUCCUUCCUUGGAAGCACUCUCAGGUUCCCCAGGCACCUGCCCAGCUCCGGGGUAAGACUGGCUGCAGCUGCCGGCUGUGCCUCUGCCUGGCUCUGCUGCACGCUCCCUGGCAAGGGGACACAGGUUGGGGAAAAGGGACACAGGCCCCUAGCCCUUGUUCUGCAAUGUGGGGGUAGAACAUGAUCCCAAGGAACCACCAGACCCCUCAAACAUACAUGCACUUUUACAGGGGUGCAAACAGGCUCUGGAGAUCAUGUGACCUGGCCAGGCUUUUGAAGCCCCUCACCCUACUCCCAGGGUUGGGCUGGACCCAGCUGUCAAAACUCUCAGGCCAGAACUCCUUUACUGAUCCAAAUAACUCUGCUUAGCCCCUGACCAAGCUCCACUCUUGCCUGGGGAGAAGUGUUUCUGGGAACCUCUCAUCCCUCCCAAGGUUUUAAUGUAAUCUAGAAGGGCCAAGUUGUCUUGACCAAAGCCAGGAGGAGGUGAACUGAGUGCUGGGAGAAGGUUGAUCAGGACAUUUGCAAGGCAUUUCGUUUUCUGCCCUGGCACCAUCCUUUCCCACCUGUGGGCUCAGCCUCUUCCAAGCCUCCCGGGCACAUUUGCUAUCUGGGUGACUGUCACUUCCCUCCAGGGAAAUCCUGUGCUUCAGCCCCCACUCGGGCAGCCUCCCAGGAAGCAGGAGACAACAGGCUCUGUGGGUCUUGGUUACAGUGUCACCUGGAGAAUGUGGCUUCCUCCUUCCUCUGCCUUCCUAUUUGGUCACCUCCCUGAAGCAGCCAAGAAACAACUGGAAGGCGGCUUUGCCGGGCGCCUUUGGGAGGGGAUCCGCCCCCAAAUGCUCGGACAGCAGGGAGUUGCGUGUGUACUGCGACGUGUUGCGGGCCAUCAGCGGUGCCCCUGUCUUUGUGGCUCCUGCCUUGCCCUCUCGCGGUCGCUGUAGACGUGCUGUUCUCCACAAGGAGAAAGGGGAGAGCUAC
rnacentral:lncRNA from 12 species